rnacentral:rRNA from 1 species
UACGGGGGGGGCAAGCGUUGUUCGGAAUUACUGGGCGUAAAGGGCUGGUAGGCGGCCAACUAAGUCAGACGUGAAAUCCCUCGGCUUAACCGGGGAACUGCGUCUGAUACUGGAUGGCUUGAGUUUGGGAGAGGGAUGCGGAAUUCCAGGUGUAGCGGUGAAAUGCGUAGAUAUCUGGAGGAACACCGGUGGCGAAGGCGGCAUCCUGGACCAACACUGACACUGAGGAGCGAAAGCCAGGGGAGCAAACGGG